UUCGUACUGCGGAGGACAUUACUGAUUUGCUUAAUUGCACCACAUGUGUUUUUUAUUGAACAAAUUUCUUUGGUGGCGGGAGCAAUCCUACCGCCAGAGGUUAUAACUAAACCAAACUUUUUAUUUACAGUCAAACUUGAUUUAUUAUUACAAUAGUCAAAACUUUCAACAACGGAUCUCUUGGUUCUCGCAUCGAUGAAGAACGCAGCGAAAUGCGAUACGUAAUAUGAAUUGCAGAUAUUCGUGAAUCAUCGAAUCUUUGAACGCACAUUGCGCCCUUUGGUAUUCCAAAGGGCAUGCCUGUUUGAGCGUCAUUUCUCCCUCAAACCCCCGGGUUUGGUGUUGAGCAAUACGCUAGGUUUGUUUGAAAGAAUUUAACGUGGAAACUUAUUUUAAGCGACUUAGGUUUAUCCAAAAACGCUUAUUUUGCUAGUGGCCACCACAAUUUAUUUCAUAACUUUGACCUCAAAUCAGGUAGGACUACCCGCUGAACUUAAGCAUAUCAAUAGCCCGGAGGAA
rnacentral:rRNA from 1 species